rnacentral:rRNA from 1 species
GGGCAUAGCGGCAGCCUACCAUGCAAGUCGAACGGUAGCACGGACAUCUUGCUCCUGGGUGAUGAGUGGCGGAUGGGUGAUGUAUGUCAGGGAGACUGCCUGAUGGAGAGGGAUACCUACUGGAAUCGGUAACUCAUACCACACCCUGUCGCGGAACCCAAGAGAGCGACCUACCGUCCUCUUGUCAUCCGAUGUACCCCGAAGUAAUUAGCUGGUGGGUGGGCUAACCGCUCACGUAAGCAACCAUCCCUGGCUGGACAGAAAGAAUGACCACCCUGGCAGUGACUGACACACCGUACUCACUCCUAAGGCAGGCAUGAGUGAUUAAGAUUGCUGAGUGAGACCCUGCCUGAUGCAUCCCUGCCGCGUGUAUAAAGAAUGCCUUCUGGUUGUAACUUU